AAGGAUCAUUAUUGAAUGAACUUGGCGUGGUUGUUGCUGGCCCUCUCGGGGGCAUGUGCACACCCGCCAUCUCCAUCUCUCCACCUGUGCACCUCUUGUAGACCUGGAAUAGACUUUCCGAGGCAACUCGGUUGGGAGGAAUGCUGUCGCUUUGCGUCAGCUUUCUUUGGACUUCCAAGCCUACGUUUUUCAUAUACCCAUAGUAUGUAACAGAAUGUGUCAUUUGGGCCUCAGUGCCUAUAAACCAUAUACAACUUUCAGCAACGGAUCUCUUGGCUCUCGCAUCGAUGAAGAACGCAGCGAAAUGCGAUAAGUAAUGUGAAUUGCAGAAUUCAGUGAAUCAUCGAAUCUUUGAACGCACCUUGCGCUCCUUGGUAUUCCGAGGAGCAUGCCUGUUUGAGUGUCAUUUAAAUUCUCAACCUUAUUAGCUUUUGCUGAUAAUGGCUUGGAUGUGGGGGGCUUAUCUUUUGCUGGCUUCUUUCACAGAGGUCAGCUCCCCUGAAAUGCAUUAGCUGGUGCCCCGCGUGGACUGUCUAUUUGGUGUGAUAAUUAUCUACGCCGUGGAUGUCUGCAAUUGGUUUUGGCACUGCUUCUAACUGUCUGUUCAW
rnacentral:rRNA from 1 species